UACCCUGUAGAUCCGAAUUUGUGUAAAAGAAGCGGCCUCACAAAUUCGCAUCUAGGGGAAUA
rnacentral:pre_miRNA from 1 species